GAGUUUGAUCCUGGCUCAGAGUGAACGCUGGCGGCGUGCCUAAUACAUGCAAGUCGAACGAUGAAGCUUCUAGCUUGCUAGAAUGCUGAUUAGUGGCGCACGGGUGAGUAACGCAUAGGUCAUGUGCCUCUUAGUUUGGGAUAGCCAUUGGAAACGAUGAUUAAUACCAGAUACUCCCUACGGGGGAAAGAUUUAUCCUAAGAGAUCAGCCUAUGUCCUAUCAGCUUGUUGGUAAGGUAAUGGCUUACCAAGGCUAUGACGGGUAUCCGGCCUGAGAGGGUGAACGGACACACUGGAACUGAGACACGGUCCAGACUCCUACGGGAGGCAGCAGUAGGGAAUAUUGCUCAAUGGGGGAAACCCUGAAGCAGCAACGCCGCGUGGAGGAUGAAGGUUUUAGGAUUGUAAACUCCUUUUGUUAGAGAAGAUAAUGACGGUAUCUAACGAAUAAGCACCGGCUAACUCCGUGCCAGCAGCCGCGGUAAUACGGAGGGUGCAAGCGUUACUCGGAAUCACUGGGCGUAAAGAGCGCGUAGGCGGGAUAGUCAGUCAGGUGUGAAAUCCUAUGGCUUAACCAUAGAACUGCAUUUGAAACUACUAUUCUAGAGUGUGGGAGAGGUAGGUGGAAUUCUUGGUGUAGGGGUAAAAUCCGUAGAGAUCAAGAGGAAUACUCAUUGCGAAGGCGACCUGCUGGAACAUUACUGACGCUGAUUGCGCGAAAGCGUGGGGAGCAAACAGGAUUAGAUACCCUGGUAGUCCACGCCCUAAACGAUGGAUGCUAGUUGUUGGAGGGCUUAGUCUCUCCAGUAAUGCAGCUAACGCAUUAAGCAUCCCGCCUGGGGAGUACGGUCGCAAGAUUAAAACUCAAAGGAAUAGACGGGGACCCGCACAAGCGGUGGAGCAUGUGGUUUAAUUCGAAGAUACACGAAGAACCUUACCUAGGCUUGACAUUGAGAGAAUCCGCUAGAAAUAGUGGAGUGUCUAGCUUGCUAGACCUUGAAAACAGGUGCUGCACGGCUGUCGUCAGCUCGUGUCGUGAGAUGUUGGGUUAAGUCCCGCAACGAGCGCAACCCCCUUUCUUAGUUGCUAACAGGUCAUGCUGAGAACUCUAAGGAUACUGCCUCCGUAAGGAGGAGGAAGGUGGGGACGACGUCAAGUCAUCAUGGCCCUUACGCCUAGGGCUACACACGUGCUACAAUGGGGUGCACAAAGAGAAGCAAUACUGCGAAGUGGAGCCAAUCUUCAAAACACCUCUCAGUUCGGAUUGUAGGCUGCAACUCGCCUGCAUGAAGCUGGAAUCGCUAGUAAUCGCAAAUCAGCCAUGUUGCGGUGAAUACGUUCCCGGGUCUUGUACUCACCGCCCGUCACACCAUGGGAGUUGUGUUUGCCUUAAGUCAGGAUGCUAAAUUGGCUACUGCCCACGGCACACACAGCGACUGGGGUGAAGUCGUAACAAGGUAACCGUAGGUGAACCUGCGGUUGGAUCACC
rnacentral:rRNA from 1 species